UACGUAGGGUGCAAGCGUUAAUCGGAAUUACUGGGCGUAAAGCGUGCGCAGGCGGUUUGCUAAGACAGGUGUGAAAUCCCCGGGCUUAACCUGGGAACUGCGCUUGUAACUGGCAAGCUAGAGUGUGGCAGAGGGGGGUAGAAUUCCACGUGUAGCAGUGAAAUGCGUAGAGAUGUGGAGGAACACCGAUGGCGAAGGCAGCCCCCUGGGUCAAGAUUGACGCUCAUGCACGAAAGCGUGGGGAGCAAACAGG
rnacentral:rRNA from 1 species